GGGUCAUAUGGUACAGUCUCCUA
rnacentral:siRNA from 1 species